GACGAACGCUGGCGGCGUGCUUAACACAUGCAAGUCGUACGGUAAGGCCCUUUCGGGGGUACACGAGUGGCGAACGGGUGAGUAACACGUGAGUAACCUGCCCACAACUUUGGGAUAACGCUAGGAAACUGGUGCUAAUACUGGAUAUGUGCUCCUGCUGCAUGGUGGGGGUUGGAAAGCUCCGGCGGUUGUGGAUGGACUCGCGGCCUAUCAGCUUGUUGGUGGGGUAGUGGCCUACCAAGGCGGCGACGGGUAGCCGGCCUGAGAGGGUGACCGGCCACAUUGGGACUGAGAUACGGCCCAGACUCCUACGGGAGGCAGCAGGGGGGAAUAUUGCACAAUGGGCGCAAGCCGGAUGCAGCAACGCCGCGGGCGGGAGGACGGCCUUCGGGUUGGAAACCGCUUUCAGCAGGGACGAAGCUUUUUGUGACGGUACCUGCAGAAGAAGCACCGGCUAACUACGUG
rnacentral:rRNA from 1 species